AUGCAGGGCCCGUCUGUGCCCUUCGAGGGCUGCCUUGUGGUUUCUCUGCACCAUGGUGGCCGAGUCCUAAGGACAAGGAACUGGGAGAGUCGGGGGCAGCACGUACCGGCAGUCACCCGAGGCCUUAGCGAGGACAGUUUCCAUUUGCAAGAGGCCGAGGGACGUCCAGGACAGGGGCCGGAGCAGACUCCACGGGCACUGCAGAGGUGCGGCUUCUGGAGGAGCCAUCUUCCUCCUCCCCUCACAGUGGGCUCCUCAGCUUCCACGACGCCAUCGCCAUGGCUCUGCAGGCUGGCCUUCUGGAUAAAGCUACAGGUGCAAAACAAACCAUUUUUUAUACAGAAGAAAUACAAGACUGAGCUUUUUCACGUACAUGAGGCGUCUGUGCAACUGGUUGCACUGAGAUUGGAAUACAAGCUUAGUGAUUACACACGAACUCAGGUGCACCCCAGGAACUCAGAUGGCUUCUCCUACUGUUUAAUAAAACAAAAGCCUCAAGGCAAAUGGCAGUCUUGUUUUGCUGCUUCCUUUCUAUCCACGAGGUGCCGGAACAACUUGCACUGCCUGCUAAGGGCUGCUUCUGCAUAACUUUUGUCAGCUCCACUUUCAGUGACUUGCUGUUCUGGCUUUGAAACCAGCCACUGCGGAACAUUUACACCUCGGGAAUUGGCGAACACUAUACAUCAAGGCUCUCUCCACCUCCGACUGGACGGCCUAUGUUAAACAUCGUCGACACACUCCUGCCCCAGCCCCCACACCCGCCCCGUUGGGUUAGUUUGAAGCAGCAUAUUCCUCUCUUACUGUGUUUUUCUUGUAAGACAAAAGAUAUUAAUGUAUGAGUUGUUUCUUCUAAACUAAAAUUUCAGUGUUCAUAUUGAAUUGCAGUAUUGGCACUUUGUGGUAAAUAAGUGGGUUUUGGGUUGCAGUUUUGGCUCUUGGUCUCUAAAAGGUUUGCCAUCACUGAUCUAUGAUAGGGGCUGGAGACAGCAAAUUCCAGGAAAUGGAGAACAAACAACUCUUGUUUCUUUAACAACUAAAUCAUAUAGGGGAAGAAACAGAAACAAAGGUUUGAGAGAUUUGUCAAGCAGAUGAGCAGGGAGGCCAUCCAAGCACAGUCUCCUGUUUUUUUCUAGAAGCUUUACUGAUUUCUGCAUGUUGAUUCUGUGAACAUAUUCUUUGCUAAAUCCUGUUUUUAGUAAUUUUUUUUUCCUGUGGGAGAGUUAUGAUAUUCAUUUAAAUCACCUGCAAAAAAAGAUAGUUUUAUCACUUUCCAGUUUACAAAUGCCCAUGCUUUCUUUUGUUUAUUAGAUUGACUUACACAUCCAGUAUAAAUAAUAUGCAUAGCAUAAUAACAGUACAUAAUCAUACAAUAGCCAUAUGAAGCAUCCUUGUCAUUCUUUUUUGUUGUUCCUGAUAUUAGUAGAAAAGUUCUUUGAGGUUCCUUAAUAAUGAAAAUGUUGGCUUUGGGGAAUUUCAUAUAUGUAUAAUAUAUACUGUACUAUUAAUAUUCCAUGUAGAUGUAUGAUAUACUAUAUGUAUAAUACAUUUUAGGAAAGCGUUCAUUAAUAUUGCAUUGGAUUUCUAAAAUGUAAAUAGGUAUUAAAUUUUGACAAAUCUUAAUGUAUCUCUUAAUAUCAAACCAACUUUGAAUUCCUAAAAUAAGCUUUUAUUUGAGUGUAAUUAUUAUUUUUUGAAAUGUAACAUUGGGUUAUUUGCUUAUAUUUCAAAAUAUUUACAUCAAUAUUCAUUAGUAAACAAUAUAUAAUUUUAAUUUGGGGUACAAUAUUUGGUGUGCUUUAGAAUUAACAUUAUAUUUAAUUCACAAAAAGAAUUUUAAAGUUUUUCUUCUACUCUGCUCUGGAACAAUCUAGCAUUAGGCAAUUUGAUCUUUUGAGGCUUAGUAAAAUUCUUGUGUAAAACCACCUAGGUCUGGUGCCUUUUUUCUUCAUUAAAACAUUUUUUAAAACCUGAGACACAACACUAAGUAACACAUGAAUCAGAAGUGUACAGCUCAGUACAUUUUCUCAAAUGUAGUAUAUUUGUUUAAUCAGCAUUUAAAGCAAGAAACAGGAACUAAUUUGCACCCCAGAAAACUGUGAGUUCCUCCUGGUCAUCAGCACCCUAACAUCAGCCUGGAGCCUGUUUGUUGCCAAAUUCUCUUAACUGUCCGUUGUCAUUUUCCCUGUGGUCACUGAUCUGCUUAGAUUUUUACGUCUCCACUGGAAUCAACUUAGGUAAACAGUAUUUUUCUGGACAGUUAUUCCUUCCUGACUUGUAAGUUACUAACAUAGAAUUGUGAAAAUUAGUUCCUUAUGAUUUAAAAGUUUUCUUUGUUAUCCCUAGAAAUAUUUUCCAAGAUGUUCCAUCAAGUUGUGUGCAACAAGACAUUGUAAAAUCCUCUAUAUUUGUGUUUUUUGUGUUUGUAAUAGUGGAAAGAUAACUUUUCCACUGGUGGCACACACUUGUAAUCUCAGCACUCUGGGAGGCUGAGGCAGCAGGAUCACAAGUUAGAGCCCAUCCUGGGCAAUUUAGCGAUUUAACAAAACACUGUCUCACACAAAAAAAGAGGAGGCUGGGGCUAAAACAGUGCGUGGGCCCGUGUUCAAUUCUGUCACCGCUGAGAGGAAAGCAAAGAAAGGAAAGCACUGAAAAGAUCGUUUCCGUGUAUCCAUCUGUCCACCUAGCUAUUCAGCUACCUCAGCGUCUGUGUGUGUCACAAGGCGAAAGGUGAAUCAAAGGGUAUCUAGGAAACAUUAGCAAAAGAGGUUUACCUGGACCAUUUAACUCCUUUCCCUUCCUCCCUUGGCUGUGAUGAUCUUGCAAUCAUAAUUGAGAAGCCAAGAGGCCCCUGGAGUCCUGAGCAGUGCUGCUGAUGAGCUGCUGCGGUACCAGGGGCCACCUGCCCACAGAGUUCGUGGUCAGUGAGAUACACACUUCUGUGUGUGCCACUCUCAGCAAGCCUGUUAUUUGUAGCUGAAGGUACUUCUAACCAGUGCAGUAAAUAAGACUGGUAAGCCCAGAAUGUUUAAAUGUAAGAAAAUUAUCCUAGACAUACAAAGUUCUACUCCAAAAUGGGAACUUAGCAAUUCAAUCAAAUGUUUAUUGUAAUAUUAUUUUAGUGUAACCCCAACAAAAAGCAUAAUUUGAUUAAAUUAUUCACUAUACAUAAUUUAUUCUUUUUGCAUUCCAGCUAAUUUGUAGAAUAGGAUAGGGUCUGUUGUAUAAGUAAGUGAUGGGACAAUCCUCCUUGGGUUUAAAAGGUUAAAUCAAAUAAUCUAUACGUAGGGAUGAGGCCUGUACCUGGUGUAUCAUAACUGACCUUAUAAUUUUUUUUUUUUUUUGGUACCAGGGAUCAAACUCAUGACCUUGUACUUGCUAGGCAAGUGCUUAUGCCACUAAGCUAAAUCCCUGACCCCAAUGUUAAUAUGUUUUAAUAAUUAAAAAUAAUAAAGAUUUUU
rnacentral:lncRNA from 1 species